UGCUAGUCUUUGCUAAUCUGGUAGGAGACUAAGGGGGAAGGUGAGCUUAAAACUGAAUCUGAAACUAGAUUAGAACCUGGGAGCUUGUAUCCCAAGGACCUGUUUUCCUUUUUUUUUUUUUUUUCAAGGACCUGUUUUCUAUGUUUCUGUAGAUGUAGGAAUCCAGCAGGGCCUUACUCCUUGACUUGGGUCAUCACAUCCUGAAGGCCUCAGUGGCAUAGCUCCUGUUGUUGGGCACACUGAUAAAAUGCUUUAGUAGCUCUGUUUCCAUCUAUCCUUAGCAUCACCCAGGUUUUUUAUUCUAACUUGUUUUCCAGGCCAAUGGCUUAACCCUAGAUAUUCCCUGCCCCAGAAUCUUUCCUGUAAUAUCACCUCUCAUGUCCCAACAUACCAUCGACUUCUGGGUCCAGAUGUAGCCUUAUUUCUUUCUUAUUAUGGCUGAGUAAUAUUCCAUUGUGUGUGUGUGUGUGUGUGUGUGUGUGUGUAUAGUCUUUAUCCAUUCAUGUAGGAAUGGAUACUUGGGUUGCUUCCAUAUCUUGGUUAAUGAUGUAAUGAACAUUUUCAAAUUAGUGUUUUUAUUUUGGGGGGAGGUAAGUAUCCAGUAGCAGAAUUAUUAUCUUUCUUUUUGAAUUAUUUUUUUUUGGGGGGGGUAACUAUCCAGUAGUGGAAUUAAUGGAUUGUAUGGUACUUC
rnacentral:lncRNA from 1 species